AGAGUUUGAUUAUGGCUCAGGACGAACGCUGGCGGCGUGCUUAACACAUGCAAGUCGAACGCUGAAGCACCUUCGGGUGUGGAUGAGUGGCGAACGGGUGAGUAACACGUGGGUAAUCUGCCUUGUACUUCGGGAUAAGCCCGGGAAACUGGGUCUAAUACCGGAUAGGACAUGUCACCGCAUGGUGGUGUGUGGAGAGUUCCGGCGGUACGAGAUGAGCCCGCGGCCUAUCAGUUUGUUGGUGGGGUGAUGGCCUACCAAGGCGACGACGGGUAGCCGGCCUGAGAGGGUGACCGGCCACACUGGGACUGAGACACGGCCCAGACUCCUACGGGAGGCAGCAGUGGGGAAUCUUGCACAAUGGGCGAAAGCCUGAUGCAGCGACGCCGCGUGAGGGAUGACGGCCUUCGGGUUGUAAACCUCUUCCGCCAGGGACGAAGGGUGACUGACGGUACCUGGAUAAGAAGCACCGGCUAACUACGUGCCAGCAGCCGCGGUAAUACGUAGGGUGCGAGCGUUGUCCGGAAUUAUUGGGCGUAAAGAGCUCGUAGGCGGUUUGUCGCGUCGGCCGUGGAAACCGAGGGCUUAACUCUCGGCGUGCGGUCGAUACGGGCAGACUUGAGUUCGGCAGGGGAGACUGGAAUUCCUGGUGUAGCGGUGGAAUGCGCAGAUAUCAGGAGGAACACCGGUGGCGAAGGCGGGUCUCUGGGCCGAUACUGACGCUGAGGAGCGAAAGCGUGGGGAGCGAACAGGAUUAGAUACCCUGGUAGUCCACGCUGUAAACGUUGGGCGCUAGGUGUGGGGCGCAUUCCACGCGUUCCGUGCCGUAGCUAACGCAUUAAGCGCCCCGCCUGGGGAGUACGGCCGCAAGGCUAAAACUCAAAUGAAUUGACGGGGA
rnacentral:rRNA from 1 species